GGUGGCUCAAUGGUUAAGAGCAUGGGCUUCUUCAGAGAACCUGGGUUCAAUUCCCAGCACCA
rnacentral:tRNA from 1 species